UACGGAGGGUGCGAGCGUUAAUCGGAAUUACUGGGCGUAAAGGGUGCGUAGGUGGUUAAUUAAGUUAUCUGUGAAAUUCCUGGGCUUAACCUGGGCGGGUCAGAUGAUACUGGUUGACUGGAGUACGGGAGAGGGUAGUGGAAUUUCCGGUGUAGCGGUGAAAUGCGUAGAGAUCGGAAGGAACACCGGUGGCGAAGGCGGCUACCUGGCCUGGUACUGACACUGAGGCACGAAAGCGUGGGGAGCAAACAGG
rnacentral:rRNA from 1 species